UAUCAUUGUUCUCGUUGAAGAAUGGAUUCUUACAAAGCAAGAGGGUUAAGGACUCGAGUUUGAGUCCCAACUUUGUGAAUUCAUUAACAAUCACAAAAAAUUGUAUACUUGGAACUGAUAAAGUGGCAGGCUAAGGAACCUGAAAAGCAGAGAUGUGUUGAAGCUUUGUUUUGGCAAAGAGCUAAUAACUUGUCGGGGAGUCGAUGAACUGCUUGGUGUCAACCGUACAUUUUCUUGGUCAACACUUCCAAACUCUUUUGGCUGCCUUUGUUGAACAGUGAUACAAGGAAUUUAUGGCAAACGAGAAGGGAGAUGCGUGACCAUUUUAUUCUAUGUGAAAGAAAAAAGGUUACUAGAAAUGGACAUCAUAUAUUUGGUUUUUGCCAUCAAUAUUAUUGAAAUGACAGAAGGAAUGUUGCGCAGGAGAAGGUGUGAGUGCCUCCAAGCUGCUGCUUUUCUUCUUUUUUCUGAUUUG